AUUGAACGCUGGCGGCAUGCCUUAUACAUGCAAGUCGAACGGACGCACGAAAGAGCUUGCUCUUUUGGUGGCGAGUGGCGCGCGUGUGUGUCAUGCCUAGGACCGUACUAAGUAAUGGGGGAUACUUGUUCGAAAGGAUACCUAAUACCGCAUAUGCUUUGAGACGGAAAGUUGGGGCUCUUCGGACCUCAUGUUAUUCGAGCGGACGAUGUCUGGUUAGAUAGUGGGUGGGGUAAAGGCCUACCACGGCGACGAUCAGUAGCGGGUCUUCGAGGAUGAUACGCCACACUGGGACUGAGACACGGCCCAGACUACUACGGGAGGCAGCAGUGGGGAAUUUUGGACAAUGGGCGCAAGCCUGAUCCAGCCAUGCCGCGUGUCUGAAGAAGGCCUUCGGGUUGUAAAGGACUUUUGUUAGGGAAGAAAAAGAUAGUGUGAAUACCAUGAUCUGCUGACGGUACCCAAAGAAUAAGCACCGGCUAACUACGUG
rnacentral:rRNA from 1 species